AGGGCACCACCAGGAGUGGAGCCUGCGGCUUAAUUUGACUCAACACGGGGAAACUCACCCGGCCCGGACACAGGUAGGAUUGACAGAUUGAGAGCUCUUUCUUGAUUCUGUGGGUGGUGGUGCAUGGCCGUUCUUAGUUGGUGGAGCGAUUUGUCUGGUUAAUUCCGAUAACGAACGAGACUCUGGCAUGCUAAAUAGUUACGCGACCUUCUCGGUCGGCGUCUAACUUCUUAGAGGGACUAGUGGCGUUUAGCCACACGAGAUUGAGCAAUAACAGGUCUGUGAUGCCCUUAGAUGUCCGGGGCCGCACGCGCGCUACACUGAGUGAAGCAGCGAGUGUCUAACCUAGGCCGAAAGGUCCGGGUAACCCGUUGAACCUCAUUCGUGAUUGGGAUAGGGACUUGCAAUUGUUUCCCUUGAACGAGGAAUUCCCAGUAAGCGCAAGUCAUCAACUUGCGUUGAUUACGUCCCUGCCCUUUGUACACACCGCCCGUCGCUACUACCGAUUGAAUGGUUUAG
rnacentral:rRNA from 1 species